UACGUAGGGUGCGAGCGUUGUCCGGAAUACUGGGCGUAAAGCGUGCGCAGGCGGUGAUGUAAGACAGAUGUGAAAUCCCCGGGCUCAACCUGGGAACUGCAUUUGUGACUGCAUCGCUGGAGUACGGCAGAGGGGAUGGAAUUCCGCGUGUAGCAGUGAAAUGCGUAGAUAUGCGGAGGAACACCGAUGGCGAAGGCAAUCCCCUGGGCCUGUACUGACGCUCAUGCACGAAAGCGUGGGGAGCAAACAGG
rnacentral:rRNA from 1 species